rnacentral:rRNA from 1 species
GUGGGGGAUAUUGGACAAUGGGGGCAACCCUGAUCCAGCGACGCCGCGUGAGGGAAGAAGGUUUUCGGAUUGUAAACCUCUGUUGACGGAGAAAAAAAUGAUGGUAUCCGUUUAGAAAGCCACGGCUAACUACGUGCCAGCAGCCGCGGUAAUACGUAGGUGGCAAGCGUUGUCCGGAAUUACUGGGUGUAAAGGGAGUGUAGGCGGGAUUUUAAGUCAGAAGUGAAAAUUACGGGCUCAACUCGUAACCUGCUUUUGAAACUGAAAUUCUUGAGUGAAGUAGAGGCAAGCGGAAUUCCUAGUGUAGCGGUGAAAUGCGUAGAUAUUAGGAGGAACACCAGUGGCGAAGGCGGCUUGCUGGGCUUUUACUGACGCUGAGGCUCGAAAGCGUGGGGAGCAAACAGGAUUAGAAACCCUAGUAGUCC